UAUCAAAAUACACUUGCUCCAAAUAGAUGCAUGCAAAUAUAUAAACGAGAAUAUACAACAAACAACUGUUCUGUUUUUAGGGAUUUAAAUUUAAUUAUAAAUGACACAUACAGGCUUUCAGGUGCAUAAUUUACGAUAAGAAACUAAACAAACAACUCCAUAAGACAAUUUCCAAAUCGCAGUUUUCCAACAAGACACAAAACUGCAAAACAAGAGGUCAGAUGACUUACAGUGUUCAUAGACUCAAUGAUUCAACACUUAAUUCAGUUACACUUUAGAACUAUUCAAUUACACGCAUUUAUAAAAGCAUAAGCUAAAAACUACAUGAAAAAAGAAGGCCUCUCAAAAAAGUGUCAAAGUGGCAAAACACCAGCUAAAAAGAAGUAAAAGGUCUAUACCAAGUGCUUUCCAAGCUCGUGUUGCCCAUCACCAUCGGUUUGAAGAGAGAGUGACAGGUCUUUGUUGGUGAAUAGAAAUCAGUGGCAUUGGAGAGAGGGAGGACUCCUCCUACCCAAUUACCCAAGCUGGGCAGGCGUUUGCUCUCUUCACAAAUAGGACACAGGAUCUCUAACACACACAGUCCCAAACCUGACUUUCAAGCAUUCGGAUCCCCAGUAGGAGAUUGGGACUAUCUGAAAAAGCAGGUUUAAAACAUCCUUCAGACUUCAGCUUUGCCUUAUAUCAUCCGGACUAUACUUUUUUUUCCCUCCUGCCUAACAAGACAUUGGAGAAGUGGACUGGUUCUCCUGACUGUUCCUGCGCCGUCCAUCAAAUUCCACCGGCUAUAUUUUGAAAUAUUGAUUGCAUUGUGUGAAUUUGUUGGUGUAGAUCCACUCGGAUGUUUUAAGGAUCCGGAAAGCUGUAUAUGGAAGUUGUGGGGUGCAAGGCGAAAGAAAGCAGUUGCACAUUGCGUCCAGCAGCCAUGCUUUUCCACGGCAUCUCUGGGGAUCAUAUUCAAGGGAUCAUGGAGGAGAUGGAGAGGAGAUCUAAAACGGAGUCUCGCCUGGCUAAAACAGUCCAGAUGAACGGACGAGAAACGACUAUGCCCUCCAUGAGCCCAGAGAAGCCCGCGCUGUGCGCCGGUUGCGGUGGUAAAAUCUCCGACAGAUACUACUUACUCGCCGUUGAUAAACAGUGGCAUUUAAGGUGUCUCAAGUGUUGUGAAUGUAAACUGGCCCUUGAAUCCGAGUUGACGUGUUUCGCGAAGGAUGGCAGCAUUUACUGCAAAGAGGAUUACUACAGAAGGUUCUCCGUGCAGAGAUGUGCCCGCUGCCACCUCGGCAUCUCCGCCUCGGAAAUGGUGAUGCGAGCCAGGGACUCCGUGUACCAUCUGAGCUGCUUCACCUGCACCACAUGCAACAAAACACUGACCACGGGUGACCAUUUCGGCAUGAAAGACAACUUGGUUUACUGCCGGGUUCACUUUGAGACCCUUAUUCAGGGAGAGUAUCACCCUCAAUUAAACUACGCUGAAUUAGCGGCCAAAGGUGGAGGGCUCGCGCUACCUUACUUCAAUGGCACCGGCACGGUGCAGAAAGGAAGGCCGCGGAAGAGGAAGAGUCCGGCGAUGGGGAUAGAUAUCGGCUCUUACAACUCAGGUUGUAACGAGAACGAAGCGGACCAUUUGGAUCGGGAUCAGCAACCCUACCCUCCUUCCCAGAAGACCAAGCGCAUGCGAACGUCGUUCAAACACCAUCAGCUUCGCACCAUGAAGUCCUACUUUGCCAUAAACCACAACCCCGACGCCAAGGACUUAAAACAGCUUGCCCAAAAGACAGGACUGACCAAGAGAGUUCUUCAGGGAGAACAAAUCUUGGGGCAUUACAGCCAUACUUCACGACGUUUGAAAAUUCCCUAAAGUAUUAAAAGAAGCUUUGAUCGGAAUUCUUCACCAUUGAAGACAAAGACAAUAUUAGGAUCAGAUUUUAGAGUGAUUUAAACAACAAAAAACAAUCUACCAAAAAUGUAUUCCAAAUUUUUUUCCUUUUUUUUUUUUUUUUUUUGGUCCUGAAUGUUUAAAAACAUCUUUGUAAGAGAUUCCACAACAAAUGGGAUAUUUUUCUUACGACCGAAAUGAGGCAGAAAGGCAAAGAAAAAUAAGUUGUACAGUACUGUAGAUGCAUAACAGAGCAACCUUGCUCCAAGAGGCGACUGCAGGAGACGGAAUCUACGCACGCAUGCAUGUCUACACACACACACACUACCUUGUAAUUCUGCUUGCUGUAAAACAUUCCUGUGCAACAAAUGUCACUUAUCAUGAAAGCACAGCCUUCCUAAAACUUGGCAACAAAAUGUCUGACCAAGAGAAGCUGGAAAGGAACACCAUAUGGCUGUAUUUAAAAUGAAAACACAUUAUUUAUAAAAAAAAAAAAAAAAAAAAAGAUUCAAAUUUUUGCAUGCACUUCAUGUUGUUGACAGCAAUUUCAGAUAUUUGGAUAUUAUUUUAUAUUGAUGUUUCUUUUGUUGUCUGUUGUAUACUAUAACCUUUUAAAGGACAAUUCUUGUAAAUCCAAAAUCUUCAGACAAAACAACAGUAAAAGUCAGUAAAAGCAUGCUUGAUUUGACAAUAAAACCUGGUUAUCUUAAAAAAAAAAAAAAAAAAAAUUGGGGUUCGCUGAUUUUCCUAGAAACACAUUCUUGUGGUGUUAGUUAAAAUAAAUCAAUAAAAUAGUAGAGGGAAAUAUUCCUUUUUUUUUGUAAGUUUGAUGUAAUGGUAAAUGUUUUAAAAUAUUAUGCUGAUUUUUUUCUUAUUGUAACAAUAUCUAGAAAGCAAACUUUAUUAAACAAUGCUUGUGCUAUACUCUGUUAAGUGUGUGUGGGGGAAAAAGCAUUGGGCCACAUGGGGGCCUAGUAAACAGUAAAGUGUUGAAUUCCAGCUAUGCCAGACUUGUCAAGCUUCGGGCUGCAUCACUGAUCUGCACAUGCUGGAUGACCACGAAACGUAAUUCUUUUCAGUCUGUGGACAAUUUCUGCGCUGCCUUCAUAAAAAUGUUUAGUCAGACAACCUACAAUGUGCUUCAUGUGGUAACAUCUCAGUCACUUAAAUGUACUAUAUGUAACUUUGGCGCUCUGGCGGUUAAUAAACAAAACUGCAUGCGUCUGGCGGAAGAACAUUGUAGACGGAACUACUUUUCUCUGUUUAUGUUUAUGACGAGUCACGCAGGUACUGGGCUACUCCGCAACGGUCGUCGUCCGGUCUAAACGCUGAUACCGUAUCAGGAUAAGACAAAAACACGGUUUGGAAGAUGGUUUCAUGAUGUACUCGCUCUUUCUAUAAAAUCUGUCAAUUUUGAAGAAAAAAGUUACAUAGUGUACCUUUAAUGUUACUGAAUUAACUUGGAUACAACACCAACGGAAGUCAUUUCAAGUGCCAAAUCAGUGGUCAGUUGUCCUUAGGCCCAAGUCAGCAGACAAGAGGCUCUUAACACCCGUGACCGUAGGGAAUUCUUUGGAAAACAAGGGACCUUGAGGGUUCAAAAGGAGGCGAUGAUGUAUUUUAUACACACUUGGAGGAGUAGACGGUCACCAUAUCCAGAAGCAAACAGGAAGAUGGAUGCUGUCCUCCCCUGCAAACAGCGAUUAUAUGGAAAUCUCUUUCUCUCACACACAAGGAGCCAAACUGCAUGAUGAAUCAGGAAGGUUUGUGAUUGUUUCCAUGAGCAUGUUCUAUUAUGACACACUGAUUUUAUGUCAGAAAAACAUUUAAAAUGUUCUUUUUUAAAUACACUACCGGAAAAAAAAAAUUAACACACUAUUAAAGAGACAGUUCACCCC